AUCCAGAUGAUGAGUUCCAAAUAGGACCAAAUGCGUGUCCGGGAU
rnacentral:hammerhead_ribozyme from 1 species